UUAAUUACUUGGCAGGGGAGAUACCAUGAUCACCAGGCUGAUUUUCCAGGGCGAGGCUUAUUGAUUGCACUCCGGAUAUGCUGACCCCUGUGAUUUCCCCAAAUGUGAGAAAGUUGGCUGCAUAAUUUAUGUUAGUUGGAGAUGGCAUUCACACUGUUCCCUA
rnacentral:snRNA from 1 species